UGGCUCAGACGGUUAGAGCAUCUGCCUACAAUGCGGGAGACCAGGGUUCGAUCCCUG
rnacentral:tRNA from 1 species